GACACAUAGGAACCUCCUCAAAGGAUUCUAUGGACAGUCGAUGCAGGGAGUGACAGCUCCCUGUAUCGGCGAUUUAACUUGUUUUUUUAACGUAGCGUUAACUACAAAGACACUAUAUUGUUUUCAGCCUUAA
rnacentral:antisense_RNA from 1 species